rnacentral:misc_RNA from 1 species
AACGCACCUUGCGCCCCUUGGCAUUCCGAGGGGCACACCCGUUUGAGUGUCGUGAACAUCCUCAACCUGCUUCGUUCUAUCGAACCAAGUAGGCUUGGAAUUUGGAGGUUUUUUCUGCUGGCUUCUUCCUCUGAAGCCAGCUCCUCUUAAAAUUAUCAGUGGGAUCCGCUUUGCUAGAUCCUCGACGUUGAUAAGAUGUUUCUACGUCUUGGGUUUCGCUCGGGAAGGACCUGCUUCUAACCGUCCCCAUCGGGGACAAUGUUCGAGAGCCGAUCGCCCUUCACGGGGUGGGAAGCUUUUCGACCCAUGAAACCUUGACCUCAAAUCGGGUGAGACUACCCGCUGAACUUAA